AUUGAACGCUGGCGGCAUGCCUUACACAUGCAAGUCGAACGGUAACGGGCCUUCGGGUGCCGACGAGUGGCGAACGGGUGAGUAAUGCAUCGGAACGUACCUUUCAGUGGGGGAUAACGUAGCGAAAGUUACGCUAAUACCGCACAUUCUGUGAGCGGGAAAGCAGGGGAUCGCAAGACCUUGCGCUGAUUGAGCGGCCGAUGUCAGAUUAGCUAGUUGGUGAGGUAAAGGCUCACCAAGGCGACGAUCUGUAGCGGGUCUGAGAGGAUGAUCCGCCACACUGGAACUGAGACACGGUCCAGACUCCUACGGGAGGCAGCAGUGGGGAAUUUUGGACAAUGGGGGCAACCCUGAUCCAGCCAUGCCGCGUGAGUGAAGAAGGCCUUCGGGUUGUAAAGCUCUUUCGGUCGGGAAGAAAUCGCAUGGGUUAAUACCCUGUGCGGAUGACGGUACCGGCAUAAGAAGCACCGGCUAACUACGUGCAGCAGCCGCAGUAAAAC
rnacentral:rRNA from 1 species